rnacentral:rRNA from 2 species
CGAGGCACCACGGUGCUGAAGUGACAAAUGCCCUGCUUCCAGGAAAAGCCUCUAAGCAUCAGGUAACAUCAAAUCGUACCCCAAACCGACACAGGUGGUCAGGUAGAGAAUACCAAGGCGCUUGAGAGAACUCGGGUGAAGGAACUAGGCAAAAUGGUGCCGUAACUUCGGGAGAAGGCACGCUGACAUGUAGGUGAAGCCCCUGCGGGUGGAGCUGAAGUCAGUCGAAGAUACCAGCUGGCUGCAACUGUUUAUUAAAAACACAGCACUGUGCAAACACGAAAGUGGACGUAUACGGUGUGACGCCUGCCCGGUGCCGGAAGGUUAAUUGAUGGGGUUAUCGCAAGAGAAGCUCCUGAUCGAAGCCCCGGUAAACGGCGGCCGUAACUAUAACGGUCCUAAGGUAGCGAAAUUCCUUGUCGGGUAAGUUCCGACCUGCACGAAUGGCGUAAUGAUGGCCAGGCUGUCUCCACCCGAGACUCAGUGAAAUUGAACUCGCUGUGAAGAUGCAGUGUACCCGCGGCAAGACGGAAAGACCCCGUGAACCUUUACUACAGCUUGACACUGAACAUUGAGCCUUGAUGUGUAGGAUAGGUGGGAGGCUUUGAAGCGUGGACGCCAGUCUGCGUGGAGCCAACCUUGAAAUACCACCCUUUAAUGUUUGAUGUUCUAACCUGGCGCCGUGAUCCGGCGUGGGGACAGUGUCUGGUGGGUAGUUUGACUGGGGCGGUCUCCUCCCAAAGUGUAACGGAGGAGCACGAAGGUCAGCUAAUCCUGGUCGGACAUCAGGAGGUUAGUGCAAUGGCAUAAGCUGGCUUGACUGCGAGAGUGACGGCUCGAGCAGGUGCGAAAGCAGGUCAUAGUGAUCCGGUGGUUCUGUAUGGAAGGGCCAUCGCUCAACGGAUAAAAGGUACUCCGGGGAUAACAGGCUGAUACCGCCCAAGAGUUCAUAUCGACGGCGGUGUUUGGCACCUCGAUGUCGGCUCAUCACAUCCUGGGGCUGAAGUAGGUCCCAAGGGUAUGGCUGUUCGCCAUUUAAAGUGGUACGCGAGCUGGGUUUAGAACGUCGUGAGACAGUUCGGUCCCUAUCUGCCGUGGGCGCUGGAGAAUUGAGGGGGGCUGCUCCCAGUACGAGAGGACCGGAGUGGACGCAUCACUGGUGUUCGGGUUGUCAUGCCAAUGGCACUGCCCGGUAGCUAAAUGCGGAAGAGAUAAGUGCUGAAAGCAUCUAAGCACGAAACUUGCCCCG